ACCGAUUAUUGGCAGAACUGCAUUCCUAGGCUGAAGGGCUUGUCCAGUCAGCUGCUUGGAGCUUCCAUCGUCGUGGUUUGUUUGGAAUGAUUGCAGUAUCCAAGGAGUUCUGCCGUCCCUGUGACGUUGACGGCACGGAACCACCCUGGCUCGUCUCCAUCACCUCAUCAGAGGCGCUGGAGGGUCGUGCAGACUGCACGUCGGCACUUUUUUCAGACCUCCCCUCGUGGGCAGAGGCCUUGAGGCUUGCCAACUCGAGGGAUGGCAUAGCCUGCUUUGCGGCUGGUGGAGCAGCGUGAGCUGCUACCACCGGGGGCGAGGAUGGCUCCGUCCCAGCCUCACUAUGUGUGGUCUGGGCAGGUGCCGGAGGCCGGUGUGGUGGAUCGCCCUGUCGUACCACAUCGGCGAAGUUCAUGUUCGGUUUGAGUGAAAACUUGUUUUUAACUAGGAUGCGGUUUCUAGCCUCUUUGAAUGAAAUGUUCUCAAUUGUU
rnacentral:lncRNA from 1 species